AAAGUCCGUGCUGAACAGAACUCUCUGCCACCCAAAACAGAGCUCUCCUCCACAACAUCAAAGGACUUUUGUGCCCAAGGGUUUGUUCCGUGCAGACCACAGAGCACAAAGGCUCAUGAUUAUAGAACCGACCAGGCCGUAACAUUCUGGAGUGAAAACCACCAGAGGAUACAGGGCGUGACACCCGUCCAGACGGUGAAAGCUCCUUUCAGGAAGUCGACACUUUUCAGCACGCCCAUAACUGAACGAAUGGAUGAGCCUGAUCCUCCCUCUGACAUCUGAGCAUCACUUCAUCACCAGCUGUUGUUAAACAGGAGGGGUCAUCUGUGGAGAAGACACAAGGAGGAUUAUCCAGCGGUGGACYUCCACUGGGCCAGUGGAUCUUCUCUCUUUGGG